AAACCACCAUGGCAUGUGUAUACCUAUGUAACUAUCCUGCACGUUCUGCACAUGUACCCCAGAACUUAAAGUAUAAUAAAAAAAAUUUCAUUUUUAUCUCCCAUCACCAAUGUACUGUUACAGUAUGAUACUAUUACUGACUAUGCCCCAUAAGGAUGACACUCCCACAUCUUUGAUUGUUUCUGAUUUUGGUGGUGUAUUGGCCUGAGUUGUGUUCUCCCAGAAUUCAGCCUUAACCCUCAAUAUCUUAGAGUAUGACUAUUUGGAGAUAGGCCUUUAAAGAGGUAAUUUAUUUAAAAUGAAGCUGUUGGGGUGGACCUAUCUAACUGGUAUCCUCAUAAGCAGAGGAGAUUAGGACAUGUAGAGAUACCAGAGAUACACAGAAGAAGGACCGUGUGAGAACACAGGGAGAUGGCCCUGUCUGCAGGCUAAGCCGAGGCCAGCAAAACUGACCCUGCGGAUGCCUUGAGCUUAGACUUCCAACCACCAGAACUGUGGGAAAAUACAUUUCUGUAGUUUGCAGCAGCCAGUCUGUGGUAUUUUGUUAUGGCGAGCCUGGCAAAUGAAUACAGGUGGCUUUUCUCAUUUUUGCAGUAAUUGCCAAAAUGGCUGCAAAUUACUCCCCUCCUUGCAGCUACACUCUUUUGCAUUGUGACUUUGCAGCUCAGGGAGGAAGGACUAUUCACUAUCACUUGACUUUGUGGACUUAUUCUAGCCAAUAAAAUGUGCCAGAAAUGUCCAGGCUGGGCUUUGAGAUGAGGCUUCCCUGGAGCCCACUCAGGCCCCCUGUGACCAGUGCAGGCUGACUCAUUGCCAGUUUCAGCCGGCUGGUGGGCUUCAGGUACGUGAGUGAGCCUGGCCCAGAGCAGCAGCAUGGCCUGGCCUAGUCCAGCCCAAGCUGCUAACCAGAUGAUUGCUGGAAAUCACUAACUCUUGUUGGUUUAUUCUGUAGCAAAUCUAACUGGGCUGAUUUCCCAUUCAGAGGAGCAGGACAAAGCCAGGUCACGGCUUGUCAAUCUAUACAACGUAGGUUUCCAGUAAGUGUGAGUAUCCUCAACCCAAACCCUGCACCCCCAGGUCAGGAGGCCAAAGAAGUUGAACAGUGAACUAGUUAGGUUCUGUCUACUUAAUUUAGAAUAAUUUUUCUCAUAAUUUGACCAACAUGCAUGAGAGAAGUCCUCAACCUCUGCCAAAUUAAGUGUAUCCUAUGACUCUCCAUCUGAAAACAUCCUUUCUGGGGCCAGGGAAGUUUCUUCCAUCCCUGUCUUUUGGUGGCUGUGUUGAAGAUGCAAUGAGAAGAUAUUGGUCAUCCUCCUUUUCCUAGGUAAAUUCUGCCAUUUGCCCUCUGAAUGCUAUCUACCUUCAGAACGCUAUCACUUGCUCCUGUCCAACGAGAAAGAGUGAGCUUUGUGUCUUGUAGCAAAUGCACGAUUUGAUGAGCAUAUCUUUGCUCUCACUUUCUGGUUGAGAGCUUCUGCUUUCUGAUUUUGAGGCUAGAUUUUAACCGCAUCUGAGAAGGAGACUUCUUAACACAGGGCAGUUAGAGAAACGAAGCAUGUCCUGUACCAGGAGAACAUGUUAAGUGAGUUUACUUUUGAGAGACAGAAACUGGACCUAAGGCUGGCUUCAGUUCUUCUCCUUCCACAGAGCUCCCGGAAUGUCCCAGAAUGUUGAAGCCUGGGGGCUUUGCCCUUCUCAGUGCUCUGAGGAGGCAUUUUCUAGUGUGUGCUCUCUGAAGGAUCAGAAAGGUGAGCCACGUGGAGAUCACCUGUGGCUGAUGUGGUUCACGGGCUCCUGCCAGGGGCAGUCACUGGUUUUGUCUGCUGUAGAUCUAUCAUCUGUUAGGCACCUUAUACAUUUUUUUUGAGACAGAGCAGUAAAGGAAUGUGCCCCAGAUCAUUAAAGUCCUGUGUGUGGGCUGUCUGCGUGGGGGAGGCACUGCCACAGAGGACACGUUGGACGUGACCGGUUCAUAUGAAAAUCCCCUUGGAAAAUGCAUGUGGCACCAGAUUGCUGGAGUUUUCUCAGUCUAAACAGUUCCUGAUGAUCUCCCUCCCUCUUGCUUGCUCUUUAUAUAUAUCUAUAUUUUUUUAAACUGAAACUAAACUGUUAUCUACAAAGGAACUCAUCAGCGUGCACGCACACACAGCAUUCCAUCCAAUCCCUGCCCUCGCCCACCCACUGUCCAAAUAAAAACACUUCAAAUGUUUUGGAUCCAGUUUCUUAUUUCCUGUGAGCAGUUGCCGGCAUUACUUUACGUGGAGAGGUUUGGUUGUAAGAUGAGCAGAUGCCCAUGAGCUCUAUCCCUCGUAGUAAGUUAGGCCAGCAGGCUGUGAGACUUUGGAGACUGAUGCCAAUUUUCUUCUUAGAGCAUAAUCCUGUAAUGCUCAACAGAAAGUUUUUGCUCUUUUGAAUUAAAGCCUUACUACUUUGCCUGAUUUGUGUUUGAGGUUUUAUAUUUUUUUCCUUUAGUAGAGACAAUUUAAUCUCAAAAUGCCAAGUCCUCUUAAACUUCCCUACUCUGUUGUGGAGUGUGUUUCAUCUUAAAAACAUCCCAGAGAAACUUGGAAGAGGUCCUUGGGUUAGCGAAUGCCCUCCUCGCCAUCAUAGAGACUGCUGAGCACAAGACGAAAAACGCACGUCUGUCAGACUGUUUUACCAUCAAAUAAUGAAGACGUUUGCAUGCCAUUUUAGAUUUUGCAGCUCCCUACUGCUUAUCUUCCGGAGGCCCGUGGCGUCCAGUGUUGGUCCACCAGUUACACUUGGCAGAAGGUAGAACCCUGGGAGGAAGAGAGCCAGGAAGGGAAGAGUCUAUGGGUACAAAGAGUUCGUGCACAUGGAACACACGGUACCACAUCACUAAGAAAAUUAACCUUCCGUGUCUGGAUGAGGAAAGUCAGGUGCAGAGAAGAAUAUGAAGGCAAUUAAAGAACAAAAACCAUAGCAUGCCCCAAAUUACGAAAAGAACUGGCAUUUGCAAAGAAUAACAUCCUCACUCAGGCCUCAUGUUGUAAGUGAGGAAACUACGAAUCAAAGACAACAAGCAGCCCUCUGCUUAGCUCAGCUCCCAGGAACCAUUCUCUUCCCAGAGCACAUGUUCUGGAGGGGCCUGGUUUUCCAUCUUCUCUGGAGAUCCUCUGAUGAAAGCAUAACCAGAGGGAGGCUUACCCUCUACUUGCUCACCUUCUCCCCUGCUGAGAUGGCCUUUGGAGGCUCUUCCAGUUAAUUUGCCUUACGCGGCACUGCAUCAUGUUUCUAGUUAACUGCAAAGCAAAUAGUCCAUGGCCUAGAGGAGGCCUGCACCCUGGAACAAUUGUUGGAAUACGCUGGCCAUUUAAUAUGUCAAGAGUGAAGGAGAAAUAUUCCUUGUGUGGCUUUGGUGAUAAAGUGUGAAAAGGACUGCAAAGCCCGUGUGUCACCGAGGAGAGGGUCAGAAGAAUGUUGUUGGCAGGGCAGAGGCCACUUCUAGAUGCUGGUGUGAUGGAGAAAAUGUAAUCAACCAUAAGGCCCUUGGGGAAAGUAUUGUAUUUGUUUGGAAGAAAUAUUUUAGUAUAAGACUCCCGUGAACAUGCUCAAAGACAAAGGAUAGUUUCUCAAUAGUCUUCUAAGGGUAGGAAUGAUUGAUGAGAGGGGAUUUUGAUUUGUUGAGCACUUAGGUAAGUUUUAGUAUACACAUUUGGGGACAGAAGCCAGGGCAGAAAUAAACUGCUCAGCAUAAAAUGGGAAAGAGGUGACAAGGAGGCUAAUUCUGGGAAGAGAGGAGCCACCUCCUUGCUGGUAUGGACAAUUUGUAGGUAUUGGGCGUUGAGCAUCACACACAAUCCCCUUUCUCUGGCUUUGUAAUUGCCUGAUGUGUUCUUCCUGUCUGCUGCACAAACAAAGACCACAGCAUAGCAAUAAAGAAAG
rnacentral:lncRNA from 10 species